UUCGCAAUGCCCGAAAGGGUGACGAAGCGACGCCGCGUGCGGGAGGAAGGCCUUCGGGUUGUAGACCGCUGUCGGGAGUUAAGAAAUGCAAGGAUGUUAAUAGCGUUCUUGCUUGACUAAGGCUCCGGAGGAAGCCACGGCUAACUCUGUGCCAGCAGCCGCGGUAAUACAGAGGCGGCAAGCGUUGUUCGGAAUUAUUGGGCGUAAAGAGCACGUAGGCGGCUGUGUAAGUCGGUUGUGAAAGCCUUCCGCUCAACGGAAGAACGGCAUCCGAUACUGCAUGGCUUGAGUGCGGGAGGGGAGAGUGGAACUUCUGGUGGAGCGGUGAAAUGCGUAGAUAUCAGAAGGAACGCCGGCGGCGAAAGCGGCUCUCUGGCCCAUAACUGACGCUGAGUGUGCGAAAGCUAGGGGAGCAAACGGGAUUAGAUACCCCGGUAGUCCUAGCCGUAAACGAUGGGCACUAAGUAGAGGGGUUUU
rnacentral:rRNA from 1 species